CAACCUCCCUGCGUCGGGGUAACAUAGUGGUGAAAUAGUGCAGCAGGCAUCUGGCUCAGGACAGUAACAGGGCUCUCUCCUACUGAACACACCAGAGCGUAGCCAUGUUGACGGGGCCACUGUGGAGCGUCCUCCUGCUCCUGUCCAUCCCAGAGGUGUGCAUGCAGGAGGUGGACUACGGGGACUAUGAAGACAGCGAUCCUCUAUGCUCCACUGAAGAGACCAUCAGAGGGGGCCAUGUGUCCUACUCACAGGGAGGGUUGUAUGGGAGUGUGCUGACCUAUCACUGUGCCCACGGAUACGACCCUUUCCCUGUUAGCCAUAGGCUAUGUGAUGAUGAGGGGGAUUGGUCAACCAUGACAUCAGCGAAUGGCAGACUAGUGACACGGGCAACAUGCAAAGAGAGAGUGUGCCCCGGCCAGCUCCAGCUGGAUAAUGGGGACUUCUGGCCGAGGGACCAGUGGUUCCGUCCAGGGACUAUGCAGAACUUUUCCUGCCUUGGAGGGUUGACCCUCUCUGGCUCAGCAAGCAGGACCUGCACCGUCUCUCUGGAGUGGACCGGAACCAGCCCUAUUUGUGACAACAAUGAUGUAGUUGAUGCCUGCAACGACCCAGGCGUCCCAGCGGGGGCCUUGAGGUCAGGGUCCCGGUUCCAGGUGGGGGACACACUAACCUAUCGUUGCCAGGCAGGUCUGGACCUGCUGGGUUCGAGCCAGCGUGUCUGUCUCUUAAGCAGGGAGUGGACCGGCUCAGCCCCACGAUGCCAGGCCUACAAUGGCUUCGACAGCCCCAGUACCGUGGCAGCCUUAAUGAUCGGCUCCCUGUCAGGGGUUAUUGAAGCUCUUCCACCAGAGAUCCCCCCCCCACAAAGCGUCCUUCAAGAGGGCUACGGGCGAAUGAUCAUCGUUGAGGAUCACAGUCGGUUGAACAUCUACAUCUUACUGGAUACAUCCGGCAGCCUGGUCGAAAGCUUCGACAAAGUCAGACAGUCUGCUAUCAGUCUCAUCAGGAAGCUGGACAGCUUUGAUGUCCAGAUGAAGAUCCAUGUGGUUUCUUACGCCAGCGAGGCUAUAGACAUUGUGACCAUCAUAGAUACCUUCAUAAGUGCCGAUGCUCAACUUGUCAUUGAGGAAAUAGAGAAGUUUGACCCCAAAGAUCACGGGGACAAAAUAGGGACCAAUCUCUUUGCAGGACUGCAUAGAGUAGAUGAGAUGAUGGCUUUACUGAAGUUAGGCCGAGAGGAUAAUCAUUUUUUGGAGACUCAGAAUGUUAUUCUCAUAAUAACAGAUGGUAAUUCCAACACUGGUCCCGAACCCCAGAUUGCCCUUGCCAAAAUACGAUCCCAUUUUGGCGGCAACACCUUGGAGGAACUGCUCGACGUGUACGUGUUUGGUGUCGGAAAGGGGAUUAACAAAAAAAAGCUGAAUGACAUCGCCUCACACAAGCAGAACGAGGAACAUAUCUUCAUUCUGGAAGACCUCCAGUGUCUGGGAGAAGCCUUUAACCAGAUGAUCAAAAUCAAGACGACGACCAAGUGUGGGGUGGCAGAGGAAGAGCUUGACAGCGAUGAUCCCAAAGUAAAUGGCCAAUACACCAGGCCAUGGCACGUCGCUCUUAAAAUCCUUGCAUCCGAUCUGAGCAGAGAGGAAAAAUGCUACGGAUCCGUUGUGAGCCCAAACUGGAUCCUGACCGCGGCCCACUGCUUCGCCCGGCACAGUGUAGCGGUACGGAGGCAAAAGAUAGAAGUCACUCACGGUGGUAAACAGCAAACGAUGGAUGGUCAGAUUUUCAUCCACCCAGAUUUCAACAUCAAAGGCCUCAAGCACAGAAAUGUGUCAGAGUUCUACGACUUUGACGUGGCUCUGGUGCAGCUGAACACCAGCGUCCCCCUUCUGUCAGAGGCCAGACCCGUCUGCCUGCCGUGUACUACGGCUGCCGACCGAGCCAUGAAGCGAGUCAAAUCCACAUGCCAGCAGCACAGAAAGGAAUUACUACCAGGCAGUGAAACUAACGCAUCCUUCAUCGACAGAACCUCGAAACGUGUGGAAACCCUGAUUCAUCUUGGAGAGCAGCCUCCCUGCAGAGGCAAGCAUGCGUGUCCAAAGCUGCCUGGGAACUGAAAGACGCCCACAACGUGACAUUGGAUGAGCUAGUACCCGAGCGGUUCCUCUGUACUGGAGGCCCUUCCAGGUCCGGAAACCCUGUCAGCUGCAAAGGCGAUUCCGGUGGUUCACUCUUCUUGAAGAAAAGGGAGCGCUACUUUCAGGUGGGGGUAUUGAGUUGGGGUACCGUAGACCGGUGUUCUGGCAAAGGUCGUGGGCGUCCUGCUGCCGAUGCGCGUGACUUCCACAUCAGCCUUUUCACCAUUGUGCCGUGGUUAAAGCAGCACCUGGGCCAGGAGCUAGAGUUCCUGCCUCUGGGAGACUGAGGGCUGUCGUUCUCUGGCCUGUCGCCCUAUGCCAGCAGCCAGCAGCCUUAUUGCUUCAGCAUGUAUGAAGAACAGAUAACCCUGCUGCCCUACUUUUCUUUCCAUUUUGGUGUAAUGUGCAAAACCGCUCCCCGUCACAAUAACUCAUUAAUAUCCAAUAUGUCUUCGAGACGAUGGAUACGUAUUCUGUAUGUGCAUACGUACCUUUGCUUUUGUUUUCUUAUUUUCUUAUUAAAAUAAAAACUCUACUCCUGUACUA